CCUACGGGGCGCAGCAGUAGGGAAUCUUCCACAAUGGGCGAAAGCCUGAUGGAGCAACGCCGCGUGGGUGAAGAAGGUCUUCGGAUCGUAAAACCCUGUUGUUAGAGAAGAAAGUGCGUGAGAGUAACUGUUCACGUUUCGACGGUAUCUAACCAGAAAGCCACGGCUAACUACGUGCCAGCAGCCGCGGUAAUACGUAGGUGGCAAGCGUUAUCCGGAUUUAUUGGGCGUAAAGGGAACGCAGGCGGUCUUUUAAGUCUAAGAUUAAAGCCCGAAGCUUAACUUCGGUUCGUUUUAGAAACUGG
rnacentral:rRNA from 1 species